GCUGGUGUAGCACAGUGGUAGUGCAGUUGAUUCGUAAUCAACAGGUCGUGAGUUCAAUCCUCACCACCAGCUCCA
rnacentral:tRNA from 1 species